rnacentral:misc_RNA from 1 species
GAAAUGCGAUAAGUAGUGUGAAUUGCAGAAUUCAGUGAAUCAUCGAAUCUUUGAACGCAUAUUGCGCCCCUUGGUAUUCCAUGGGGCAUGCCUGUUCGAGCGUCAUCUACACCCUCAAGCUCUGCUUGGUGUUGGGCGUCUGUCCCGCCCCCGCGCGUGGACUCGCCCCAAAUCCAUUGGCAGCGUUCCUUGCCCCCUCUCGCGCAGCACAUUGCGCUUCUCGAGGGCGGCUCCGGGACGCGAUCCAGCAAGAUGACCACCGUCUUUGACCUCGGAUCAGGUAGGGAUACCCGCUGAACUUAAGC